CCUACGGGUGGCAGCAGUCGAGAAUCAUUCGCAAUGGGGGAAACCCUGAUGGUGCGACGCCGCGUGGGGGAAUGAAGGUCUUCGGAUUGUAAACCCCUGUCAUGUGGGAGCAAAUUAAAAAGAUAGUACCACAAGAGGAAGAGACGGCUAACUCUGUGCCAGCAGCCGCGGUAAUACAGAGGUCUCAAGCGUUGUUCGGAAUCACUGGGCGUAAAGCGUGCGUAGGCUGUUUCGUAAGUCGGGUGUGAAAGGCGCGGGCUCAACCCGCGGACGGCACAUGAUACUGCGAGACUAGAGUAAGGGAGGGGGAACCGGAAUUCUCGGUGUAGCAGUGAAAUGCGUAGAUAUCGAGAGGAACACUCGUGGCGAAGGCGGGUUCCUGGACAUUAACUGACGCUGAGGCACGAAGGCCAGGGGAGCGAAAGGGAUUAGAUACCCGUGUAGUC
rnacentral:rRNA from 1 species